GCGCGCACACACCCCCCCUCUCUGGCGGGCUGGGGCAAAACUAGUUCCUGGUGUCCGAUUUGUUAAAGUUUCUACUCCUGGUAAUAUUGACCUUACCUGGUGUGGAUGGAAGUUUGGAGAGUCACUUCGCCUCCACUCUUCUCCUAAUCAGCUCUGUUCCUGGCGUGGUCUUCCAGGAUAGACGCCAGAUAAAGGGGCAAGACGUGUGUUAAUAAUACUUAUUAACAUUAUUCUACAACUACCGGCCCUUACCUAUACUACUUGUGCUCCAUCCAAGUGGUAGGAGAUUCCAGAACAUCGGAUUACCAUCUGCCCAGGAUAACCUACAUAAAUAACA